GACCCGCACAAGCGGUGGAGCAUGUGGUUUAAUUCGAAGCAACGCGAAGAACCUUACCAAAUCUUGACAUCCUCUGAUCCCUCUAGAGAUAGAGUUUUCCCCUUCGGGGGACAGAGUGACAGGUGGUGCAUGGUUGUCGUCAGCUCGUGUCGUGAGAUGUUGGGUUAAGUCCCGCAACGAGCGCAACCCUUAAGCUUAGUUGCCAUCAUUAAGUUGGGCACUCUAAGUUGACUGCCGGUGACAAACCGGAGGAAGGUGGGGAUGACGUCAAAUCAUCAUGCCCCUUAUGAUUUGGGCUACACACGUGCUACAAUGGACAAUACAAAGGGUAGCGAAACCGCGAGGUCAAGCAAAUCCCAUAAAGUUGUUCUCAGUUCGGAUUGUAGUCUGCAACUCGACUACAUGAAGCUGGAAUCGCUAGUAAUCGUAGAUCAGCAUGCUACGGUGAAUACGUUCCCGGGUCUUGUACACACCGCCCGUCACACCACGAGAGUUUGUAACACCCGAAGCCGGUGGAGUAACCUUUUGGAGCUAGCCGUCGAAGGUGGGACAAAUGAUUGGGGUGAAGUCGUAACAAGGUAGCCGUAUCGGAAGGUGCGGCUGGAUCACCUCCUUUCUAAGGA
rnacentral:rRNA from 1 species